GCUGCACUCUCUCUCCAGGCUUAACACAUGCAAGUCGAGGGGAAACGGCAUUGAGUGCUUGCACUCUUUGGACGUCGACCGGCGCACGGGUGAGUAACGCGUAUCCAACCUUCCCAUUACUGUGGGAUAACCUGCCGAAAGGCAGACUAAUACCGCAUAGUCUUCGAUGACGGCAUCAGAUGUGAAGUAAAGAUUUAUCGGUAAUGGAUGGGGAUGCGUCUGAUUAGCUUGUUGGCGGGGUAACGGCCCACCAAGGCUACGAUCAGUAGGGGUUCUGAGAGGAAGGUCCCUCACAUUGGAACUGAGACACGGUCCAAACUCCUACGGGAGGCAGCAGUGAGGAAUAGUGGUCAAUGGACGGAAGUCUGAACCAGCCAAGUAGCGUGCAGGAUGACGGCCCUAUGGGUUGUAAACUGCUUUUGUAUGGGGAUAAAGUUAGGGACGUGUCCCUAUUUGCAGGUACCAUACGAAUAAGGACCGGCUAAUUCCGUG
rnacentral:rRNA from 1 species